UACUGGGGACCUCCUACCCACCAUCAAAACAAGGCCCCUGAUGGUAGCAGAACUUCGGCCGCUGGAGUCCAGCCUUUGGGUGCUACCCCAGUCAAAGCAGUGCGGUGUCCUGUAUUCAGCUCUGAUGACACAGAGAUGACUGCCACCCAGCUUGGGCCUGCCUUCGAGGAGUGCACAGCACAGGCCCAAUGGAGAGGAGAGAGGACACAGGUGUUCAUUCCUCUGACGCUACUAAGACUCUGGGCGUUGGUGGCCUCCAAGACUGAAUGAGGUGCUGAUCAUGUCCCCACACUCUAACGGAUUGGCAGGUCUGCUCCUGACAGAUGAAGAUUAAGAUACUGCCAAGGGAAGGAGGAAUAGGAAGUACCGUAUUAUUGUCCUUAUUUGGCAGCCGGGAAAACUGAAACAGAGAGGUUAAAUAAUCUGCCCAAGGCCACAGAGCUGGUAAGCAGCAGACAGAUCCUGGCUCAAACCCAGCCAACCAGGCUCCAAAAUCUGUGCAAUUACCCCUGAUACGCUGCUGCUUCUUGCUGGGGGAACAACCCAGACCACUGAGCACCUGCCUCAUUUACUUGAUUUUGUAAGACACGCAGGUUGGUGAGCUACACAGAUUCAUCUAUAAUCUCCUCUUUGGAGAUCCGGCAUGUAAUUUGGAAGUGUGUUUGAGAAGGUAGUUGAUGUUAUUUUCAAUGCAGCGGCAGCCCCACAGUGAUCCAUCCGCCAGCUCUCUUUGACAGAGAAUUGAUCUCCCAGGUCAGGAAGCAAACCUCAAUUUGCGUAGGAUGCACUUGGAAUGCGCCCUCUUAGUAGCACACGGAAGAUAAAGCAGAGUCAAUGACAGUUCUUGUCAAUGAGUUUGUUAUGGCAAGAGGCUGUUUGGGCCGAGGACCACUGCUGACACUCCAGAUGUGCGCCUUUUUUUUUUUUUUUUUUGGUAUGAUAAACACGUUGCCUGUGCCUUUUAGCCCCACUUGUCAAUUUCUUGACGUUUCCAAGUCCUCUUUUGAUCCAAGCAUCUCCAUCCAAUGGCACAAAGGCAAAAUGAGUACUUACUUGGUUCCCAAGGCCAUCAACCAU